rnacentral:rRNA from 1 species
GCCAUCCUUGGGAUACCACCCUUGUAGUACUGGGACUCUAACCAUAGGCCAUGAAUCUGGUCUUGGGACACUGUCAGGUGGGCAGUUUGACUGGGGCGGUCGCCUCCCAAAAGGUAACGGAGGCGCUCAAAGGUUCUCUCAGUACGGUCGGAAAUCGUACGUAGAGUGUAAAGGCAAAAGAGAGCUUGAUUGCAAGACAUACAGGUCGAGCAAGGAUGAAAAUCGGACUUAGUGAUCCGGUGGUUCUGCGUGGAAGGGCCAUCGCUCAACGGAUAAAAGCUACCCUGGGGAUAACAGGCUUAUCUCCCCCAAGAGUCCACAUCGACGGGGAGGUUUGGCACCUCGAUGUCGGCUCAUCACAGCCUGGGGCUGUAGUAGGUCCCAAGGGUUGGGCUGUUCGCCCAUUAAAGUGGUACGCGAGCUGGGUUCAGAACGUCGUGAGACAGUUCGGUCCCUAUCCGUCGCA